GAACACAAUGAUGAGAAUGUGCCAUGAACCAAGAAUAAUGAUGAAUCUAAUUCUCUGCAUCUGAGUUAUU
rnacentral:snoRNA from 1 species